GACGAACGCUGGCGGCGUGCCUAAUACAUGCAAGUAGAACGCUGAAGGAGGAGCUUGCUUCUCUGGAUGAGUUGCGAACGGGUGAGUAACGCGUAGGUAACCUGCCUGGUAGCGGGGGAUAACUAUUGGAAACGAUAGCUAAUACCGCAUAAUAGUAGAUGUCGCAUGACAUUUGCUUAAAAGGUGCAAUUGCAUCACUACCAGAUGGACCUGCGUUGUAUUGGCUAGUUGGUGAGGUAACGGCUCACCAAGGCAACGAUACAUUGCCGACCUGAGAGGGUGAUCGGCCACACUGGGACUGAGACACGGCCCAGACUCCUACGGGAGGCAGCAGUAGGGAAUCUUCGGCAAUGGACGGAAGUCUGACCGAGCAACGCCGCGUGAGUGAAGAAGGUUUUCGGAUCGUAAAGCUCUGUUGAAAGAGAAGAACGAGUGUGAGAGUGGAAAGUUCACACUGUGACGGUAUCUUACCAGAAAGGGACGGCUAACUACGUG
rnacentral:rRNA from 1 species